rnacentral:misc_RNA from 1 species
GAUGAAGAACGUAGCGAAAUGCGAUAAGUAAUGCGAAUUGCAGAAUCCGUGAGUCAUCGAAUCUUUGAACGCACAUUGUGCCCUCUGGUAUUCCGGAGGGCAUGCCUGUUCGAGCGUCAUUAUCACCCCUCAAGCCCGGCUUGUUGUUGGAUGCAGCGCUUAUCCCGCUCCUCCCAAAGAUAAUGACGGCGUCUGCGACGACUCCUGUACACUGAGCUUUCGGGCACGUACACGGCUAGAAGUCCAGACCCGGUCGCCGUCCCCCCCGCGGGGACACCCAUUACCACAAGGUUGACCUCGGAUCAGGUAGGAAUACCCGCUGAACUUAAGCAUAUCAAUAAGCGGAGGA